GGGUCCAGGAUCAUUUUGGGGGGGUCCAGGAUCAUUCUGGGGGGUCUAGGAUUAUUUUAGGGGGGUCCAGGAUCAUCUUGGGGGUCCUGGCUCAUUUUGGGGGGUCCAGGAUCAUUUUAGGGGCGUCUUGGAUCAUUUUGGGGGGGUUUGGGAUCAUUUCUGUGAGGUCCAGGAUCAUUUUAGGAGGGUCCAGGAUCAUCUUGGGGGGGUCCUGGCUCAUUUUGGGGGCCCCCAGAGGUUCCCACCCCCCCCCCAGACUCAAAUGAUGACAGACUUUGGGCUGAAUUGGGGCCGUUUUGGGGCCGUGAUGCUCCAAAGUAAACGCUCUGAUGGGUCUGGGGG